rnacentral:rRNA from 1 species
GACAGAGGGUGCAAACGUUGUUCGGAAUUACUGGGCGUAAAGCGCGUGUAGGCGGUCUCGCAAGUCGGAUGUGAAAGCCCAGGGCUCAACCCUGGAAGUGCACUCGAUACUGCGAGGCUAGAGUCCCGGAGAGGAUGGUGGAACUCUCGGUGUAGAGGUGAAAUUCGUAGAUAUCGAGAAGAACACCGGUGGCGAAGGCGGCCAUCUGGACGGUGACUGACGCUGAGACGCGAAAGCGUGGGAGCAAACAGG